AUGUGGACCCGUCUUCGUCAGCGCUAUGAGCCCUCUGGUGAUGCCUUAUACCUUUCUGUGGUCCGUCAGGAGCAUGCUCUUCAGCAGGGUGACUCUACUGUUGAUGACUUCUAUGCACAGAGUUUUGCUAUCUGGCGCCAGCUUGAUUCUCUCCGCAAUGCUGGUUGUCGUACUUGCCCCUAUUGCCAGGCUGUCUAGGCCAAUUUGGAGUUUCAUCGCGUCUACGAGUUCCUGUCUCGGCUCCGUAAGGAGUUUGAGCCCCGGCGUGCUCAGUUGUUUGCUCGUGGCUGUAUUUCUCUCAUGGAGGUGCUUUCUGAGAUUCGUGCCGAGGAGACUCGCUUACGUGGUGCUGGUUUGCUGGAGGUUCCCUCUGUCCUCGCUACUCGGGCUUCUUCCACGCCACCUGCUGCACCGACCCCUUCUCGCUCGGGUGCUCCGCCGCUCUUGCCCACUCCUUCUGGAGGCUCAGGUCGCCCCCGUCAACAUUGCGACUACUGUAACAAUGAUGGUCAUAUUGAGUCCUAGUGCUACACGAAGAGGAAACACCUGCGCAAGGCGCGAUCAUCAUCUUCAGGGACUUUGUCAUCUACCUCGACAGCUUCAGCCAUUGCUUUGACUCAGCAGGAUAUUCUGAGACUUAAGCGUCUGCUCGCGACUUCAGGUUCUUCCUCGACGGGUAUUGCUGGUUCUGUGACUGAUGCUUCCCGCACUGAGCAACCACCCUCUACACAGUCAGGUACAUCCCCAUGGGUUCUCGACUCUGGAGCUUCUUUUCAUAUGUCUUCUCAUUCUUCCACUUUGUCCUCUCUUCGCUCGCUGGAUCCUCCUGUUCAUGUCUUCACUGCUGAUGGUACUCCACUUUCUGUUGUUAGUAGAGGCAAUCUUACCACUUCUUCUUAUUCUGUUCCUGAUGUUGCUCAUGUUCCUCGACUUAUCAUGAAUCUGUUUUUUGUUGGUCAACUUACUGAUUCUGGUUGUCGCGUCAUCCUUGACGUUGACUCUUGUUCCGUCCAGGAUCGUCGCACGCACACUUUGGUUGGGGCUGGCCCUCGCCGUCGUGAUUCUCAGGGUCUUUGGGAGUUGGAGUGA
rnacentral:rRNA from 1 species